ACGAACGCUGGCGGCGUGCUUAACACAUGCAAGUCGAACGGUGAAGCGCCUUCCUUUUUGGUGGGUGUGGAUGAGUGGCGAACGGGUGAGUAACACGUGAGUAACCUGCCCCCUUCUUCUGGAUAACCGCAUGAAAGUGUGGCUAAUACGGGAUAUUCUGGGUCUGUCGCAUGAUGGGUCUGGGAAAGAUAUUGUUUCGGUGGGGGAUGGGCUCGCGGCCUAUCAGCUUGUUGGUGGGGUGAUGGCCUACCAAGGCGGUGACGGGUAGCCGGCCUGAGAGGGUGGACGGUCACACUGGGACUGAGACACGGCCCAGACUCCUACGGGAGGCAGCAGUGGGGAAUAUUGCACAAUGGGCGCAAGCCUGAUGCAGCGACGCCGCGUGAGGGAUGGAGGCCUUCGGGUUGUGAACCUCUUUCGCCAGUGAAGCAGGCCUGCCUCGUUUGUGGGUGGGUUGACGGUAGCUGGAUAAGAAGCGCCGACUAACUACGUG
rnacentral:rRNA from 1 species